GGGCCGGUAGCUCAGUUGGUUAGAGCAGGGGACUCAUAAUCCCUUGGCCGUCGGUUCGAGCCCGACCCGGCCCACCG
rnacentral:tRNA from 1 species